rnacentral:lncRNA from 1 species
CACUGGUGAUAACUGCAGGGAUGUAUUUGAAAGCCACUGUACCCAUUUUUCUAGAUGAAAAUAUCUUCCCUUGAAUGGCCCAAGUGAAGGUAAAUGACUUCUAGUCUGCCCUCUCUGAAACCCAUGCCCCACUGCUCAUCAAAGAAGACUGAGGUCCUCAAAGAUGAGAAUGGCUGCCUAUUAAAGACCCUUCCAAUAGACUGCAGUACAAUAAUAUCACCGACUUGGAAGGCUGACUAUACUGUAUGCUGUUCACCUUUAAACUAAUUUGCAUUUAUUGGAUUCCAAACAAAGAAUUCUCCUGCCGCCUUCUUAUUAGAAGGAAGUGACAGACAAAGAGAGCUGAAGAAACCCCCAAAACUGCAG